rnacentral:rRNA from 1 species
UACGAAGGGGGCUAGCGUUGCUCGGAAUCACUGGGCGUAAAGCGCACGUAGGCGGAUUGUUAAGUCAGGGGUGAAAUCCUGGAGCUCAACUCCAGAACUGCCUUUGAUACUGGCGAUCUUGAGUCCGGGAGAGGUGAGUGGAACUGCGAGUGUAGAGGUGAAAUUCGUAGAUAUUCGCAAAGAACACCAGUGGCGAAGGCGGCUCACUGGCCCGGUACUGACGCUGAGGCACGAAAGCGUGGGGAGCAAACAGG